rnacentral:rRNA from 1 species
AUGGCUAAACGAGGGCUUAACUGUCUCCCUUUUCAAGUCAGUGAAAUUGAUUUACCCGUGCAGAAGCGGGUAUAAAUAUACAAGACGAGAAGACCCUUUGGAGCUUAAGGUGUUAACCCAAUCGCGUCAAGCAACUUAUUAAAGAGCACAAACUUAGCGCACCAUGGAGUUUCACCUUCGGUUGGGGCGACCACGGAGGAAAAAGCAGCCUCCGAGUGGACCGGGAACAUAUCCUAGAGCCAAGAGGGACACCUCUAAGCCACAGAACAUCUGACCAAAUGUGAUCCGGACAUAAAGUCCGAUCAACGAACCAAGUUACCCUAGGGAUAACAGCGCAAUCCUCUCCCAGAGUCCAUAUCGACGAGGGGGUUUACGACCUCGAUGUUGGAUCAGGACAUCCUAAUGGUGCAGCCGCUAUUAAGGGUUC